rnacentral:rRNA from 1 species
GAUGAACGCUGGCGGCGUGCCUAAUACAUGCAAGUCGAGCGAACAGACGAGGAGCUUGCUCCUCUGACGUUAGCGGCGGACGGGUGAGUAACACGUGGAUAACCUACCUAUAAGACUGGGAUAACUUCGGGAAACCGGAGCUAAUACCGGAUAAUAUAUUGAACCGCAUGGUUCAAUAGUGAAAGACGGUUUUGCUGUCACUUAUAGAUGGAUCCGCGCCGCAUUAGCUAGUUGGUAAGGUAACGGCUUACCAAGGCAACGAUGCGUAGCCGACCUGAGAGGGUGAUCGGCCACACUGGAACUGAGACACGGUCCAGACUCCUACGGGAGGCAGCAGUAGGGAAUCUUCCGCAAAGGGCGAAAGCCUGACGGAGCAACGCCGCGUGAGUGAUGAAGGUCUUCGGAUCGUAAAACUCUGUUAUUAGGGAAGAACAAAUGUGUAAGUAACUAUGCACGUCUUGACGGUACCUAAUCAGAAAGCCACAGCUAACUACGUG